UAGUCCUAGCCGUAAACGAUGGGUACUAGGUAGGGGGGACGCCUAUGGUCUUCUCUAUCGGAGCAAAUGUGUUAAGUACCCCGCCUGGGGAGUACGCUCGCAAGAGUAAAACUCAAAGGAAUUGACGGGGGAUCACACAAGCGGCGGAGCAUGUGGUUUAAUUCGAAGCAACGCGAAGAACCUUACCUGGUCUUGACAUGUAUGGAUUAGCUUUAUGAAAGUAAAGUGACAGCCCUUCGGGGUCGGAACAUACACAGGUGUUGCAUGGCUGUCGUCAGCUCGUGUCGUGAGAUGUUGGGUUAAGUCCCGUAACGAGCGAAACCCUUAUUGUUAGUUGCCAGCGGGUAAUGCCGGGGACUCUAGCGAGACUGCCGUUGUUAAAACGGAGGAAGGUGGGGACGACGUCAAGUCAUCAUGGCCCUUAUGGCCAGGGCGACACACGUGCUACAAUGGCUUGUACAAAGGGAACCGAGACCGUGAGGUGGAGGCAAUCCCACAAAGCAAGCCCCAGUUCGGAUUGCAGGCUGAAAUUCG
rnacentral:rRNA from 1 species